CAGCACCUCAAGUGGUCAGGAUGAUUAUUGGGCCUAAAGCAUCCGUAGCCGGCGCUGUAAGUUUUCGGUUAAAUCUGUACGCUCAACGUACAGGCUGCCGGGAAUACUGCAGCGCUAGGGAGUGGGAGAGGUAGACGGUACUCGGUAGGAAGGGGUAAAAUCCUUUGAUCUAUUGAUGACCACCUGUGGCGAAGGCGGUCUACCAGAACACAUCCGACGGUGAGGGAUGAAAGCUGGGGGAGCAAACCGGAUUAGAGACCCGAGUAGUCC
rnacentral:rRNA from 1 species